rnacentral:rRNA from 1 species
UACGUAGGGUGCGAGCGUUGUCCGGAAUUAUUGGGCGUAAAGAGCUUGUAGGCGGUUUUUCGCGUCUGCUGUGAAAAUCCGGGGCUCAACCCCGGACUUGCAGUGGGUACGGGCAGACUAGAGUGUGGUAGGGGAGACUGGAAUUCCUGGUGUAGCGGUGAAAUGCGCAGAUAUCAGGAGGAACACCGAUGGCGAAGGCAGGUCUCUGGGCCUCUACUGACGCUGAGAAGCGAAAGCAUGGGGAGCGAACAGG